rnacentral:misc_RNA from 1 species
UCCCCGUUCUCCUGGGCAGUCUCUCCAGAGUUCCUGACAUGUCAAGGGUAGGUAAGGUUUUUCGCGUUGCAUCGAAUUAAACCACAUCAUCCACCGCUUGUGCGGGCCCCCGUCAAUUCCUUUGAGUUUUAAUCUUGCGACCGUACUCCCCAGGCGGAUGACUUCGCGCGUUAGCUGCGUUACUAAGGGAUUUAACUCCCCCAACAACUAGUCAUCAUCGUUUAGGGCGUGGACUAC